rnacentral:rRNA from 1 species
AUUGAACGCUGGCGGCAGGCCUAACACAUGCAAGUCGAGCGGAUGAAGGGAGCUUGCUCCUGGAUUCAGCGGCGGACGGGUGAGUAAUGCCUAGGAAUCUGCCUGGUAGUGGGGGAUAACGUCCGGAACCGGGCGCUAAUCCCGCAUACGUCCUGGGGGGGAAAGGGGGGGUUCUUCGGACCUCCCGCUAACAGAUAAGCCUAGGUCGGAUUAGCUAGUUGGUGGGGUAAAGGCCUACCAAGGCGACGAUCCGUAACUGGUCUGAGAGGAUGAUCAGUCACACUGGAACUGAGACACGGUCCAGACUCCUACGGGAGGCAGCAGUGGGGAAUAUUGGACAAUGGGCGAAAGCCUGAUCCAGCCAUGCCGCGUGUGUGAAGAAGGUCUUCGGAUUGUAAAGCACUUUAAGUUGGGAGGAAGGGCAGUAAGUUAAUACCUUGCUGUUUUGACGUUACCAACAGAAUAAGCACCGGCUAACUUCGUG